AUGAACGCUGGCGGCGUGCCUAAUACAUGCAAGUCGAGCGAACAGACGAGGAGCUUGCUCCUUUGACGUUAGCGGCGGACGGGUGAGUAACACGUGGAUAACCUACCUAUAAGACUGGGAUAACUUCGGGAAACCGGAGCUAAUACCGGAUAACAUGUUGAACCGCAUGGUUCAACAGUGAAAGACGGUCUUGCUGUCACUUAUAGAUGGAUCCGCGCCGCAUUAGCUAGUUGGUAAGGUAACGGCUUACCAAGGCAACGAUGCGUAGCCGACCUGAGAGGGUGAUCGGCCACACUGGAACUGAGACACGGUCCAGACUCCUACGGGAGGCAGCAGUAGGGAAUCUUCCGCAAAGGGCGAAAGCCUGACGGAGCAACGCCGCGUGAGUGAAGAAGGUCUUCGGAUCGUAAAACUCUGUUAUUAGGGAAGAACAAAUGUGUAAGUAACUAUGCACGUCUUGACGGUACCUAAUCAGAAAGCCACGGCUAACUACGUG
rnacentral:rRNA from 1 species